CCUACGGGGUGCAGCAGUGAGGAAUAUUGGUCAAUGGUCGGGAGACUGAACCAGCCAAGCCGCGUGAGGGAUGAAGGUACAGAGUAUCGUAAACCUCUUUUGUCAGGGAACAAAGGCGGGGACGUGUCCCCGGAUGAGUGUACCUGAAGAAAAAGCAUCGGCUAACUCCGUGCCAGCAGCCGCGGUAAUACGGAGGAUGCGGGCGUUAUCCGGAUUUAUUGGGUUUAAAGGGUGCGCAGGCGGUCUGUUAAGUCAGCGGUAAAAGCCCGGGGCUCAACCCCGGCCCGCCGUUGAAACUGGCAGUCUCGAGUUGGAGAGAAGUAUGCGGAAUGCGCGGUGUAGCGGUGAAAUGCAUAGAUAUCGCGCAGAACUCCGAUUGCGAAGGCAGCAUGCCGGAUCCACACUGACGCUGAGGCACGAAAGCGUGGGUAUCGAACAGGAUUAGAUACCCGAGUAGUC
rnacentral:rRNA from 1 species